rnacentral:rRNA from 1 species
CACGUAGGGUGCGAGCGUUGUCCGGAAUUAUUGGGCGUAAAGAGCUCGUAGGCGGUCCGUCACGUCGGAUGUGAAAUUCCAGGGCUCAACCCUGGACCUGCAUUCGAUACGGGCGGACUAGAGUUCGGUAGGGGAGACUGGAAUUCCGUGGUGUAGCGGUGAAAUGCGCAGAUAUCAGGAGGAACACCGGUGGCGAAGGCGGGUCUCUGGGCCGAUACUGACGCUGAGGAGCGAAAGCGUGGGGAGCGAACAGG